AGAACCCCGCGAGGCAGGGUGAGGGGCGCCACAGAGGAAGCGCCCACCGGGCUUCCCGGGCUGCCAGGCCCCGAAUUGAGGAAGUUGACUGCCAGAUCACACUCUGUUGGCCCACGCAGAUAGAUUCCAUUCAUCCUUUCUAAUGUCUACACCAUAUUUUGGAUAACAUGCCAUCAUCUCACAUUGUGUUGAAAGAAGAAACCAGAAUGUUGGGGUUGAUGUAUGCCAUAUGGAUGAAUUUAAACAGUUUCGGCCUUGCAAUAAUUGGUAUACUUCUAAUUGCAUGUGAAAUUAUACUCUUUUUAACGAAAGAUGAAACUAUUCAGUGGCCACAUGUACCCAGUAACAGAGGGAGCAAAGCAAAUCUUAUCCUCAAAGAACUGCAGCUGCUUGUUAGAUCUACCUGGUGGUUCCAUAGAGAAACUGCUCAGAGAACCUGCCUUUACCUCGCCUAAAAUAGAACUAUCCCAGAGCUUAGUUCAUCAACUCAGGAUCCAGUAGUGUAAUACAGAAGCCUGUUACAAGAUAUAAGGCACUUCGCCCUCGGAAAUCUCACUGUCGGAAUCCUUGGAAAUCACACCAUGCACAACUUCUAUUUCUUCAUAAUUUGCAAAGAACCAGUGUGACUCCAGUCAAGAACAAAAGAUUAAUUGUGAAUUAGCGAAGAACUCUAAUUUUUUCAAGAAGCCACAUGGAAAACGCAUUCUAAUGAAGUCCUUUCCAUUGCUCUUUUUUCUUAGUUCUUCAAUAAAGCAUGCGAUUUGAUCACAAA
rnacentral:lncRNA from 1 species